rnacentral:lncRNA from 1 species
ACCACCAUUGCAACAACGACCACCAUCAUAACAUCAUUAGAAUCGUCACUUCACCACUAACAAAUUAGAUUCAAAAUCACCAUAGCAGCCAUCACCUCAUCGGCGUCGUAACCACCUCCACCAUCGUUGCCGCCACCACCACCACAACCACCAUUUCCUACCCACCCUCUUUUAGAGACCGUCAACAAGAAACCAUUAUGUCAUCACCACCUCAUUGUUGUCGCUAGAUCCACAACCACCUAAACCAACCACCAUCAUUGCAACCAACCACCACACUAGCCGUCGGCCAAAGGGUAUCUCCAUCGCCAAGGUUAGUAACUUCACUUUGUAAACGUUGCCUCCAACUGCUAUGAAUUAUCGAACUACACGUAGAGAUCCUACCACCAUGAUCCUCGCCAACGCCUCCACCAGCACCACAACGAAAACCACCCCAAACUCCCAACAACACAAAAAUAUGGAAACGGUCACCACCACUCCAACAAACAAAACCUAAAUAUCUCACUGUCGCUGCAGAUCCACCACUACCAAUACUAACUGCUUGUAGCACCACUAUCACCACUGAACUGCAGCAAUCCAUUCUAAGCAAAGCAUAGCAUUGUAUCGGUGGUUGGGGCCAUUCAUGUCUUCGUGACCAUCCAUGUCUCCAACGCAAAGCACAACGGUGAAUGGUGCCUCCAUGUCUCCGGCGCCGUCAAAAUUGUGAGAGAGAGAAAGAAGUCAUAAAUAAUUUUUGCUGUUUGGUAUGAAUUAGGUUGGGUGGAUAGGGAUGGGGUGGAUAGAUUUUAUAAUAUUAUUAUUAAUAUUUAUAUUUGAAUUAUAAUCUUAUUUAUGAACAAGAAAACUUUGUAUCUGAUUUUUGAACUACCAUCUUUAAAAAUUUGCUCUAAUGUAAUUUCCAC